UACGUAGGGUGCGAGCGUUGUCCGGAAUUAUUGGGCGUAAAGAGCUCGUAGGCGGUCUGUCGCGUCGGUCGUGAAAACUUGGGGCUUAACCCCGAGCUUGCGGUCGAUACGGGCAUGACUGGAGUUCGGCAGGGGAGACUGGAAUUCCUGGUGUAGCGGUGAAAUGCGCAGAUAUCAGGAGGAACACCGGUGGCGAAGGCGGGUCUCUGGGCCGAUACUGACGCUGAGACGCGAAAGCGUGGGGAGCAAACAGG
rnacentral:rRNA from 1 species